rnacentral:tmRNA from 1 species
AAACUGGAUAUUUCCAUCAGUUUGUUGUAUAGUGAAUCCGUCGUUAUUGUUGACGACUACGAUGAUAAACAUCGAGAUUAAUAGAUGAUGUGGACUCGGGGGCAGAGCCCGACGCCUCCACGGUAGCGUUUUAUGGGGGCGAAUAGAUUCGACGCGCAUUGAAAAGCUCGGUUUUCGUCCGGAGUGGUUUCCGUUAUAGAACCAAAAACUAUAAAUGCGAACGAUAAUUCUAUCGCAUGCAACUCUAACGAGCCUAUGCUGGGAACAGCAGCCGCUUAGUUGAGUAGACGCGGUCUGGGGAAGCCGGGCAACAGAACUUCCCCGCA